AUGUGCAACACAGAGCCACGCACCGGGGACAUGCAAUCCCGUGUCACUUUCCUGUCACAACAGUGGCUUGGAGCCAUGACAUGGGGCCCUGUCUGGGGGAUUCGGCCACAGGGACCACGCAGAGCUCCUUUUGCAGACCUGCUGGUGCAGUGGGUGACCUCAGUGACAUGGCAGAGGGGGCACGGGAUGGCGCGGUGGGUGACCUCGGUGACACAACAGGGGCACAGGAAAGGAAACAGCCGAUGGCCCUGGGUGGCCCGCUGUCCCCAGGCUCAGGGCUGCGAACUGGAAAGGAGGCCGCGAGUGACUCAGGCGCAGCCCUGGCAGGGACCGAGGUGUCACCACCAAACAGAAGCAACAAGAGCAGGGCCAGGUGGGGACACCCCUUGGCCAGGAAGCUGCUGCGGGACACCCAAACCCAACAACCCAACAUGUGACAGUGACAUCUUCCUGUCCCCAUAGCUGUCUACCAAUUCCCCGAAUCCCCACUCCUUGAGCUCAGCAUCCAAGGCACACGCGGGGCACAACAUCUACCACCGUCAG
rnacentral:lncRNA from 1 species